UACAGAGGGGGCAAGCGUUGUUCGGAAUUACUGGGCGUAAAGGGCGCGUAGGCGGCCUGUUAAGUCGAACGUGAAAUCCCCGGGCUCAACCCGGGAACUGCGUCCGAUACUGGAAGGCUUGAAUCCGGGAGAGGGAUGCGGAAUUCCAGGUGUAGCGGUGAAAUGCGUAGAUAUCUGGAGGAACACCGGUGGCGAAGGCGGCAUCCUGGGACCGGCAUUGACGCUGAGGCGCGAAAGCCAGGG
rnacentral:rRNA from 1 species